rnacentral:rRNA from 1 species
CCUACGGGGGGCAGCAGUCGGGAAUAUUGCGCAAUGGGGGAAACUCUGACGCAGUGACGCCGCGUAUAGGAAGAAGUUUUUCCGAAUGUUAACCAUCUUCGUUAGGGAAGAGAAAUGACAGUACCUUAGGAGGAAGCUACGGCUAACUACGUGCCAGCAGCCGCGGUAAUACGGAGGAAGCGAGCGUUAUCCGGAAUUAUUGGGUGUAAAGGGAGCGUAGACGGGAAAACAAGUUAGUUGUGAAAGCCCUCGGCUUAACUGAGGAACUGCAACUAAAACUAUUUUUCUUGAGUGCAGGAGAGGUAAGUGGAAUUCCUAGUGUAGCGGUGAAAUGCGUAGAUAUUAGGAGGAACACCAGUGGCGAAGGCGACUUACUGGACUGUAACUGACGUUGAGGCACGAAAGUGUGGGGAGCAAACAGGAUUAGAUACCCUUGUAGUC